rnacentral:rRNA from 1 species
CAGUAGCCGCGGUAAUACGUAGGUGGCAAGCGUUGUCCGGAAUUAUUGGGCGUAAAGGGCUCGCAGGCGGUUUCUUAAGUCUGAUGUGAAAGCCCCCGGCUCAACCGGGGAGGGUCAUUGGAAACUGGGAAACUUGAGUGCAGAAGAGGAGAGUGGAAUUCCACGUGUAGCGGUGAAAUGCGUAGAGAUGUGGAGGAACACCAGUGGCGAAGGCGACUCUCUGGUCUAUAACUGACGCUGAGGAGCGAAAGCGUGGGGAGCGAACAGAAUUAGAUACCCCGGUAGUCCCUGUCUCUUAUAA